AAAUGGCAGUGCGCAUUACCGGAAGUCAAAACUGCUUUGCGCAUUAGACACUCGAAUUUCCGCGAGGUGACGAAAUAAUCGCCUGAUGGCGCAGCACAACGCCGAUUGGCUGCUGGCGAAAGUGGGCGGAGCCUGUUACGUCAGGAUGGUCUAUAAAGAUACAUGCAGCCUAGCUCCUCGGUCUUUUCGCCGGACGCUGCUGGAUCCAGCAAAAUUCAGCCUUGAUCUCAUGGAAUGGAAAGCGCUGCAAGCAACUCUUGCUGGUUGGCUAAAGCACUUUUGAAAAGGCUGGUGUGGGACUAUACUCUAUAUAAAUAAAAAUUUGAUAAUC